UAGCUAGUUGGUGGGGUAAGGGCCUACCAAGGCGACGAUCGGUAGCUGGUCUGAGAGGAUGACCAGCCACACUGGAACUGAGACACGGUCCAGACUCCUACGGGAGGCAGCAGUGGGGAAUAUUGGACAAUGGGGGGAACCCUGAUCCAGCAAUGCCGCGUGUGUGAAGAAGGCCUGAGGGUUGUAAAGCACUUUCAGUGGGGAGGAGGGUUGAUAGGUUAAGAGCUAAUUAACUGGACGUUACCCACAGAAGAAGCACCGGCUAACUCCGUGCCAGCAGCCGCGGUAAUACGGAGGGUGCGAGCGUUAAUCGGAAUUACUGGGCGUAAAGCGUGCGUAGGUGGUUGAUUAAGUUAUCUGUGAAAUCCCUGGGCUUAACCUGGGCAGGUCAGAUGAUACUGGUUGACUCGAGUAUGGGAGAGGGUAGCGGAAUUUCCGGUGUAGCGGUGAAAUGCGUAGAGAUCGGAAGGAACACCAGUGGCGAAGGCGGCUACCUGGCCUAAUACUGACACUGAGGCACGAAAGCGUGGGGAGCAAACAGGAUUAGAUACCCUGGUAGUCCACGCUGUAAACGAUGUCAACUAGCUGUUGGUUAUAUGAAAAUAAUUAGUGGCGC
rnacentral:rRNA from 1 species